rnacentral:tRNA from 1 species
GGGCGCUUAGCUCAGAGGGAGAGCGCCGCUCUGACGCAGCGGAGGUCGGAGGUUCAAGUCCUCCAGCGCCCACCA